rfam:Salmo salar isolate Sally breed double haploid chromosome ssa15, whole genome shotgun sequence.
UGGCUCAGUUGAUAGAGCAUGGCGCUUGCGACGCUAGGGUUGUUGGUUCGAUUCCCAC